ensembl:lncRNA
GUUGAAAUUACUUGGACUGUAUUUGUGGGGCUCUAAAAUAGUCCUGACCAGUGCUUACUUGAAGUAAAUUGGAAAAUAGUUUUCUCAAACUAUAGCCUGACAACCAGAGCCCUGGCAUUUCAAAUCUUGAUCCUUGUGUUCCUGUAGCUCCUCCUAGUGGGAAGGUUGCAAAAUUUCUUGGCUACAGGAUUACUGCAGCCAAGUUAUUACUGCUAGAAACAACAGGAACCACCACCAAAUGAAACAUAAACCCUUUGUAGGAAAUAUAUAUAGUUUAAAUUUUUACCUUUUUUAAGGUUUAUAGCUGGGCCCAAAGUUUCUAAAAGGUCUAUUCAGCCUCUGUGAGGAGCAGCUUGCAUUAUUUUCGGAAAUUUAACCCAAGGCUAUUGAUAUACACCACGGCAUUCUUUGGUAGCCAAGCAUAGGGCUAAGAAGAGAACUAUUUGGCUACUUCUUAAUAUUUAAGUGGAUGAGCAGCAAACAUCUUUCUCCAUGUCCCUGAGCUCCAUUCUGCAAUUGCAGUUCAGCAGGGCGACAGUGCAUUUACUGUGGCAUGCUGUUGGCCCCAUGCACUUCCCCCUUUCCCCCACAGAUCUCGGCAGUGCCUUCUGCUUUGGUCCUGACAGGUAUACUCUGCUUUGUCAGAAUCUCUUUUGUGAUCUAGGACAAGACACAUAUUAUUAACCCCAAGGCUCAUCUACAAUUGAUACUUGACAUUUUUCUUAUGUACACACUAUUCAGUGUGUUGACAACAGUUUUAACGAAAAGUACAUGUAAGUAUAUGUGCUAUUAUUAGUUUGUGUUAAUGACCAAGCUAUAAUCACACACUGAGCAUUUUGUCAAGUUGUGUUUGAGGGGUCACUGGGUUCUCUCGUAUGUUGAGAAGCUUUCUGGCCCAACUUAAUUAGUACUUCUCAGAGAAAACAAGCCUGUUGGCCUGGAAACUUACUCCAUCUUUGGACAAGUGGAAGAUUAGAGUCUUUUUCUAAUUAACAGUUAUCUACAGCACAUAGCCUAUAGGUGAUAAUAUAAAUUGCAUGCUGAAAAAUGCUACCUGAAAACAAUGAUCUAACAUGGAAUGACAGAGAGAGGGUCUUGGUACUUAUCUCUAAUAGUGUCUUUGGGGCAAGGACAACUCCCUUUGAUGCAGACUUUACUCUGGAAGGAGUUGGGACAGGCCUAGGUUACUGCAGGUGAUGGAGAGUAUCUUACUACUUGUUGGAUAAAUACUUCUGUUUAUCUCAGUCACAACCCUCAAAUUUCCAUGGAGCAAGGAAUUAUCUUUAGAAAAGUAUCCUAACUAGUUCUUGCCUCUUUCUGGAAAUCUCUUCCCAAAAUAAUUGCUUGACUUUCUCCUCACGUCCAUCAGAUGUUUCUUCACAUGUCACCUUUACAUUGAGGCCUUGGAUACCAUCCUAUUUGAAAUUUCAACCUGCCCCUCACACACACACACACACACACACACACACACACACACACACACAUACACAGACACACACACAACACACACAAACAUACACACACAGACACACAACACACACACACAAACACACACACAAACAUACACACACACACACUUCAUAUCUCCUUCCCUGUUUUUUCUUUUUAGCAUGCAUUACUAUGUAAAAUAUAAAAUA